rnacentral:rRNA from 1 species
GACGAACGCUGGCGGCGUGCUUAACACAUGCAAGUCGAACGGAAAGGCCCUGCUUUUGUGGGGUGCUCGAGUGGCGAACGGGUGAGUAACACGUGAGUAGCCUGCCCUUGACUUUGGGAUAACUUCAGGAAACUGGGGCUAAUACCGGAUAGGAGCUCCUGCUGCAUGGUGGGGGUUGGAAAGUUUCGGCGGUUGGGGAUGGACUCGCGGCUUAUCAGCUUGUUGGUGGGGUAGUGGCUUACCAAGGCUUUGACGGGUAGCCGGCCUGAGAGGGUGACCGGCCACAUUGGGACUGAGAUACGGCCCAGACUCCUACGGGAGGCAGCAGUGGGGAAUAUUGCACAAUGGGCGGAAGCCUGAUGCAGCAACGCCGCGUGCGGGAUGACGGCCUUCGGGUUGUAAACCGCUUUCGCCUGUGACGAAGCGUGAGUGACGGUAAUGGGUAAAGAAGCACCGGCUAACUACGUGCCAGCAGCCGCGGUGAUACGUAGGGUGCGAGCGUUGUCCGGAUUUAUUGGGCGUAAAGGGCUCGUAGGUGGUUGAUCGCGUCGGAAGUGUAAUCUUGGGGCUUAACCCUGAGCGUGCUUUCGAUACGGGUUGACUUGAGGAAGGUAGGGGAGAAUGGAAUUCCUGGUGGAGCGGUGGAAUGCGCAGAUAUCAGGAGGAACACCAGUGGCGAAGGCGGUUCUCUGGGCCUUUCCUGACGCUGAGGAGCGAAAGCGUGGGGAGCGAACAGGCUUAGAUACCCUGGUAGUCCACGCUGUAAACGGUGGGUACUAGGUGUGGGGUCCAUUCCACGGGUUCCGUGCCGUAGCUAACGCUUUAAGUACCCGCCUGGGGAGUACGGCCGCAAGGCUAAAACUCAAAGGAAUUGACGGGGCCCCGCACAAGCGGCGGAGCAUGCGGAUUAAUUCGAUGCAACGCGUAGAACCUUACCUGGGUUUGACAUGGAUCGGGAGUGCUCAGAGAUGGGUGUGCCUCUUUUGGGGUCGGUUCACAGGUGGUGCAUGCCUGUCGUCAGCUCGUGUCGUGAGAUGUUGGGUUAAGUCCCGCAACGAGCGCAACCCUUGUUCACUGUUGCCAGCACGUUAUGGUGGGGACUCAGUGGAGACCGCCGGGGUCAACUCGGAGGAAGGUGGGGAUGACGUCAAGUCAUCAUGCCCCUUAUGUCCAGGGCUUCACGCAUGCUACAAUGGCUGGUACAGAGAGUGGCGAGCCUGUGAGGUGAGCGAAUCUCGGAAAGCCGGUCUCAGUUCGGAUUGGGGUCUGCAACUCGACCUCAUGAAGUCGGAGUCGCUAGUAAUCGCAGAUCAGCAACGCUGCGGUGAAAAGGUUCCCGGGGCU